UACGUAGGGGGCAAGCGUUAUCCGGAUUUACUGGGUGUAAAGGGAGCGUAGACGGUAUGGUAAGUCAGAUGUGAAAGCCCGGGGCUCAACCCCGGGACUGCAUUUGAAACUAUCAAACUGGAGUGCAGGAGAGGUAAGUGGAAUUCCUAGUGUAGCGGUGAAAUGCGUAGAUAUUAGGAGGAACACCAGUGGCGAAGGCGACUUACUGGACUGUAACUGACGUUGAGGCUCGAAAGCGUGGGGAGCAAACAGGAUUAGAUACCCUGGUAGUCCCUGAG
rnacentral:rRNA from 1 species